rnacentral:siRNA from 1 species
ACUGGAACUACCUUGGAUUGUACC